rnacentral:lncRNA from 1 species
GACGCUCAGCUCAAUAAUGACCCCUAGUGGCAGAUUUUUGGGUGUUUUGUGUGUGUGUGGGGAGGGGGGGUAGUGAUUUCCUGAAACAUACUAUGUGAACUUUAGUAAUUUUGUAAUCAUUUAAGAAAACAAAAAACAUGUGAUUUGUGUUUUAUUUUUUUGUCUAAAUACUGAUUAGUCUCCAAAAUUUGUUUGCUUAAUUGAAACCUUUUUUCUCUCUCAAAAACCUAAUGUUUUUUAUUUCCUUUUUACAAACUAAAAACCGCUAAACAGGAAAGUUUGAUGGUAGGUUUAAAGGAGGGUCUUAAAUGCAAAAGUCUGAUGGAAGGAGAUUUUUGCUGACUUGACCAGACUUGAGUCAGUCUCUAAACGUUUGUACUCCUCUCUGUCCUAUAGAGGGCGCCAUUAAAUCAUCCAAUAAAACUAGUCAAAGAAAAAAAAAAUUAGAGCUGAAAUCAAUUUGAAUUUUCAUUAUUGUUUUUGUUAAAGAAACAAAAUGAAAAUUCAAGAUCUUUGUUAAAGUUUUUUGAUUGAGAGCUUUUUAAGUUAUGGAAAAAAUGAUAUAUGAAAAUAAUGGGUAAUUAGAAAAAAGGGGAAAGGAGGAGGAUUUUUGCAUAGUUAGUCAUGUAAAGUCUUUUAUCUAAUGGGUUUGACGCAAAUCAUUCUAAUUUUUUACUUUUUAGCAAACUAGAAUGCUGAGGUAUAACAAAAAAAACAUGUCAGAAAUAAAGUCACCAAAUUUUUAUCUAUUAAAAAAAAUGUUAAACUCCUUCUCAUUCAAACAAUUAGUUUCAAAUAUUUUUGUGCCAAGCAUUCUGUUUAUAAUAUGUAGAACAGAACACAAAUUAGUUGAGGUAGUUAUUGUGUCAAAAAAUCCACUUUGAAAUAUCUUUUAUAAUUAUUUGAUUAAUUUGUUACUGUUGUCAUUGCAAUAUGUCUUUGUUAAAACUUAAAAACCUAUUUUUAUAUAGUUAUUUCCAAUGUUUUCACUUUUUUUUUUUUAGAAUUUAACCAAUGUCACACCAUCACUGGAAAUAAAAUAUUUGUUUCAAUUUUGUGUCCCUUUUUACUAAAAAAUGAAGACUGCACAAGCAUAUUGCUUAUGGUUGAGUUUGUAAAUAAAGUGAAUAAAUCAAACUUUGAGUAAAAGUGUGUCUCUUUGGAACAUUCACAUAAUCAUGUGCAAAGGCUUGUUUAACAAUUGGAUCUACAGUCAGGACCAUAAGUAUUUGGACAGAGACACUUUUUUUCUCAUUUUGUUUCUGUACAUUACUCAGAUGCCAUUGGAGUGCAGACUUUCAGCUUUUAUUCCAUGGGACGUACAAAAAGGUUGCAUAAAAAUGUGAAAAACUAAAGCAUUUUUUAAGCACAAAGUAGUUCCGCAGCAGCGGCCCCC